CCUACGGGAGGCAGCAGUGGGGAAUUUUGGACAAUGGGCGAAAGCCUGAUCCAGCAAUGCCGCGUGAGUGAAGAAGGCCUUCGGGUUGUAAAGCUCUUUUGUCAGGGAAGAAACGGUGUUUUCUAAUACAGAAUGCUAAUGACGGUACCUGAAGAAUAAGCACCGGCUAACUACGUGCCAGCAGCCGCGGUAAUACGUAGGGUGCAAGCGUUAAUCGGAAUUACUGGGCGUAAAGCGUGCGCAGGCGGUUUUGUAAGUCUGACGUGAAAUCCCCGUGCUCAACCUGGGAAUUGCGUUGGAGACUGCAAGGCUAGAGUUUGGCAGAGGGGGGUAGAAUUCCACGUGUAGCAGUGAAAUGCGUAGAUAUGUGGAGGAACACCGAUGGCGAAGGCAGCCCCCUGGGUCAAGACUGACGCUCAUGCACGAAAGCGUGGGGAGCAAACAGGAUUAGAUACCCUGGUAGUCCACGCCCUAAACGAUGUCUACUAGUUGUCGGGUCUUAAUUGACUUGGUAACGCAGCUAACGCGUGAAGUAGACCGCCUGGGGAGUACGGUCGCAAGAUUAAAACUUAAAUGAAUUGACGG
rnacentral:rRNA from 1 species